GACGAGGUGACCGAGCGGUUAAGGUGAUGGACUACUAAUCCAUUGUUUAUUGCACGCAAGGGUUCGAAUUCUAUCCUUGUCG
rfam:Daphnia pulex DAPPTscaffold_640_Cont10429, whole genome shotgun sequence.